rnacentral:rRNA from 1 species
GUUAUAUGGUCAAGUGAAGAAGCGCAUACGGUGGAUGCCUUGGCAGUCAGAGGCGAUGAAAGACGUGGUAGCCUGCGAAAAGCUUCGGGGAGUCGGCAAACAGACUUUGAUCCGGAGAUCUCUGAAUGGGGGAACCCACCUAGGAUAACCUAGGUAUCUUGUACUGAAUCCAUAGGUGCAAGAGGCGAACCAGGGGAACUGAAACAUCUAAGUACCCUGAGGAAAAGAAAUCAACCGAGAUUCCCUUAGUAGUGGCGAGCGAACGGGGAUUAGCCCUUAAGCUUCAUUGAUUUUAGCGGAACGCUCUGGAAAGUGCGGCCAUAGUGGGUGAUAGCCCCGUACGCGAAAGGAUCUUUGAAGUGAAAUCGAGUAGGACGGAGCACGAGAAACUUUGUCUGAACAUGGGGGGACCAUCCUCCAAGGCUAAAUACUACUGACUGACCGAUAGUGAACCAGUACCGUGAGGGAAAGGCGAAAAGAACCCCGGAGAGGGGAGUGAAAUAGAACCUGAAACCGUAUGCGUACAAGCAGUGGGAGCCUACUUGUUAGGUGACUGCGUACCUUUUGUAUAAUGGGUCAGCGACUUAUAUUCAGUGGCAAGCUUAACCGUAUAGGGUAGGCGUAGCGAAAGCGAGUCUUAAUAGGGCGUUUAGUCGCUGGGUAUAGACCCGAAACCGGGCGAUCUAUCCAUGAGCAGGUUGAAGGUUAGGUAACACUGACUGGAGGACCGAACCCACUCCCGUUGAAAAGGUAGGGGAUGACUUGUGGAUCGGAGUGAAAGGCUAAUCAAGCUCGGAGAUAGCUGGUUCUCCUCGAAAGCUAUUUAGGUAGCGCCUCAUGUAUCACUCUGGGGGGUAGAGCACUGUUUCGGCUAGGGGGUCAUCCCGACUUACCAAACCGAUGCAAACUCCGAAUACCCAGAAGUGCCGAGCAUGGGAGACACACGGCGGGUGCUAACGUCCGUCGUGAAAAGGGAAACAACCCAGACCGCCAGCUAAGGUCCCAAAGUUGUGGUUAAGUGGUAAACGAUGUGGGAAGGCUUAGACAGCUAGGAGGUUGGCUUAGAAGCAGCCACCCUUUAAAGAAAGCGUAAUAGCUCACUAGUCGAGUCGGCCUGCGCGGAAGAUGUAACGGGGCUCAAACCACACACCGAAGCUGCGGGUGUCACGUAAGUGACGCGGUAGAGGAGCGUUCUGUAAGCCUGUGAAGGUGAGUUGAGAAGCUUGCUGGAGGUAUCAGAAGUGCGAAUGCUGACAUGAGUAACGACAAUGGGUGUGAAAAACACCCACGCCGAAAGACCAAGGGUUCCUGCGCAACGUUAAUCGACGCAGGGUUAGUCGGUUCCUAAGGCGAGGCUGAAAAGCGUAGUCGAUGGGAAACAGGUUAAUAUUCCUGUACUUCUGGUUACUGCGAUGGAGGGACGGAGAAGGCUAGGCCAGCUUGGCGUUGGUUGUCCAAGUUUAAGGUGGUAGGCUGAAAUCUUAGGUAAAUCCGGGGUUUCAAGGCCGAGAGCUGAUGACGAGUCGUCUUUUAGAUGACGAAGUGGUUGAUGCCAUGCUUCCAAGAAAAGCUUCUAAGCUUCAGGUAACCAGGAACCGUACCCCAAACCGACACAGGUGGUCGGGUAGAGAAUACCAAGGCGCUUGAGAGAACUCGGGUGAAGGAACUAGGCAAAAUGGCACCGUAACUUCGGGAGAAGGUGCGCCGGCUAGGGUGAAGGAUUUACUCCGUAAGCUCUGGCUGGUCGAAGAUACCAGGCCGCUGCGACUGUUUAUUAAAAACACAGCACUCUGCAAACACGAAAGUGGACGUAUA